rnacentral:rRNA from 1 species
CGAAGGGGGCUAGCGUUGCUCGGAAUUACUGGGCGUAAAGCGCACGUAGGCGGCUUUUUAAGUCGGGGGUGAAAUCCUGGAGCUCAACUCCAGAACUGCCUUCGAUACUGGAAAGCUCGAGUCCGGGAGAGGUGAGUGGAACUGCGAGUGUAGAGGUGAAAUUCGUAGAUAUUCGCAAGAACACCAGUGGCGAAGGCGGCUCACUGGCCCGGUACUGACGCUGAGGUGCGAAAGCGUGGGGAGCAAACCAGGAUUAGAUACCCUGGUAGUCCACGCCGUAAACGAUGGAUGCUAGCCGUUGGCGAGCUUGCUCGUCAGUGGCGCAGCUAACGCUUUAAGCAUCCCGCCUGGGGAGUACGGUCGCAAGAUU